CACGAAUGAAAACGGAAAAGGAAGUUGUUGCUUUUCUAUGUCAAAGUUAGGACGACACUAUGGUAAAGAGUAUAUGUAAAGGUGAAAUAGAAAACUAACAGUCAAAAUUAUUCUAGCACCAGUUGAAAGGGAAACAAGUUCCAGCUCUUGAAGAACUGCUUGAACAUGACUGUCUCCUUCCCCUCGGGCAGGAUCUCCACCUGAAGCACAACAGCAGCAAAAAAUGCAGACUUUCAGCUCAGGUAUACAAGUGGUCAAACCAAAAAAAUUGCAGAAACAGGGAACGGACGAGGGUUGAAAACAGAAGAAAGAGUGCACAAGACGUGAAUAAAGUGGAGUUAAGCCUGUCCUGCUGUUGUGGUGCCUUUAGCAACAUUGGCCCUCGAACCUUGAUAAUCAGCACAAUGUUGAUAAGAACCAAUGAGAAGAACCAUUACAAGAAAGGGCAUAUUCAAGGCCAAGGGAUCACCUUUCCACACAAAGAUCUUUCCAUUGGUGCCGUUGUCCAAAAUGAAGCAGUCAUCAGAAAGCAGCAGCUCCUUGGCAAAAGGACAUUUAUUCACAACUUUGGUCAGUGACAUGGAGCCGGUCGCAUCAGACACCUGAGUAGACAAAAAGAGGAGUUAAACAUUAAGUCAUUUUUGACUCAAAAAAAUAUAUUUUUAAAACCUUGUAGAGGGAGGCCACGUUGGAUUUAUCCGCUUUGCUGUCCUCCUCUGGCGAGCUCUCAGCCAACUCAGGCUUCUGUCCAAGGACCUAACCCACAGCCCAGAAAACAUGCAAGACUUUAACAAGAGUGAGAAAUCCCAUGAUCGCCCACGUCAGGUAGUGCAUACCUUCAGCAUUUCCUCAGGCUCCUCCCCUUCACAGGUGUCCACAAUCCGUGCUUUGCCGUGUCUGUCCGUGUCGCGAAUCAGCGAGGCGAUCUCCCGCACUUUCUGCUUCUCAAAGACAUUGGCCUGGGAUCCAGUCCAUGACACAAUCACCUAAACACACAAAGAGAGCCAGAAUACAUCAGACAGAUUCUGGGACACAUGUUUUUUAAACACGUUAUCACCUCUCCAAGGUCCAGGAUGAAGCAGUCUCCCUUGUUGAAGCUCUUCCAGGACAGCUCUACCUCUUUGGCACGGAUGUUGCGUUUUCCUUUGAUCUGGUAGAGACGUCGCACCGUCCCUGAACCCUGAGAUUUCCUGAAGCCUGAUUCCACCCCUCCGUCCUGUGACGAGAGGCUCCUCUUCAACAAAACAACCUCAGUAGUUUCUACAGUACAUGCGGGGCUAAAGGUCGAACCUUGUAGCUGACCCCUCUGGGGAAGAGCAUCAUGAACUCGGGAGUCUCGUAGCCUUGGACAUGCCUGUGCUGGACGGGGUCUCCGCCUAGGAAGUUGUCCAGCUGGGUGGCCAGCAUAGCGCACACCACCUGCUCGUCCCGGGAUGACUUCUCACCUGUAAGAGCGACUUCUUUUGACACAUAUCUUUCCAAGAAGAAGCGAGGUGGGACAAUGUGCCCCUGAAGCGUUGGACACAUGCUGGAAACAACAGUCACUUGGGACUCUGUCCUCGUGCAUUUUUCACGGAGGUGAGCAAUCCUGCCGGCCUCUCAGCCUCUUCAAAAGAAGACAGAAUCCAGCAGUGUCUCGUCUCACCUAUCCACAUGUGGACGUCGGCUCCCUGCUCGCCACGGUUCUCCAGCACCAGGCCCGGCUCACGGACCUUUGGACCAAACUGUCCCGCUACGGUCUGGAAGGGGAGCAUUCUACACAGGGAGAAACCAGUGUCAGUGUCAUUUCAAGAGUGUUGGGCAGUAGCGGUGCAACAAGUAGAGUUGAUACAAGUAGCGUUGUAGUAGUACUGCAAGUAUUGUUCCUACAAGUAUGCAUCUGCGGUACAAGUUGCGUUGUAGUGGUACAAGUCACAAUUUUACAAGUAGCGUUGCAGCAGUGCUACGCAUAGCGGUGCUACGAGUAGCAAUACAGUGAGUAGCGGUUUUACAAGUAGCGUUUUAGGGAUACCGUUUUAGCAAUACGAGUAGCAGUUCCAGAAGUAAUGUUGUAUCGACGUUGCUAGUAGCUUUACUACCAGUAGUGUUGUAGCGGUACAGCAAGUAGUGGUGCAACUAGCAGCGUUGUAGCGGUACAAAAAGUAUCGGUACCACAAGCAGCGGUGCCACAAGUACCAAUGUUACUGGCAGCGUUGUAUCAGUACCACAAGUAGCGGUGCCACAAGUACCGAUGUUACUGGCAGCGUUGUAUCAGUACCACAAGUAGCGGUGCCACAAGUAGGGGUGCCACAAGUACCAAUGUUACUGGCAGCGUUGUAUCAAUACCACAAGUAGCGGUGCCACAAGCAGCGGUGCCACAAGUACAGAUGUUACUAGCAGCGUUGUAUCAGUACCACAAGUAGCGGUGUAGCGACACCACAAGUAGCGGUGUAUCAAUACCACAAGUAGCGGUGCAACAAAUAGCGGUUCUGCAAAUAACAUUGUAGCGUUACGCGGUGCUACAAGUACUGUUAGCAGUUAAUAUUUACUGUUAAUGCAAACUACGAAUUAUUUUUCAAUUGUUGGCUUACAUGUCAAUAACACUGUCAAAACUGUUGUAUUUGGACAUGGAAUUCUUACAUCACUAAAUAAAG